rnacentral:lncRNA from 1 species
CUCUACCAUGAUACACAAUAAUAUACCUGACUGUUCCCUUAUCAAGGUGUUCUCUACCAUGAUACACAAUAAUAUACCUGACUGUUCCUGUCACGUCCUGGCCAGUAUAAGGUUAAUUGGUAUUGUAGUUUGGUCAGGACGUGGCAGAGGGUAUUCGUUUUAUGUGGUUCGGGGUGGUGUGUUUUGUUGAAGGGGCAUUUGGUUUAAGUAUUCUGUGGUUUUUGGGCACUGUUUGGUUUUCAGGUAUUCUAUGUUUAGUCUAGUAUGUCUGUUUCUAUGUUUGGUUAAUUGGGGUUGGGACUCUCAGUUGAAGGCAGGUGUUGUCUAUCUGCCUUUGAUUGAGAGUCCCAUAUAUUAGGGUGUGUUUGUUAUUUGUGGGUGAUUGUUCUGUGUUGAGCCUUAUGCUUUGCCAGACUGUUUGUUGUUGUUCGUUCUAGUGUUUGUUAUUUUGGUAUUCAUUUUGAAAAUAAAUAAACGUCAAGAUGAGCCUGCACUUACCUGCUGCGUUUUGGUCCAUUUCUACCGACGAAUGCCGUGACAGUUCCCUUAUCAAGGUGUUCUCUACCAUGAUACACAAUAAUAUACCUGACUGUUCCCUCUACCAUGAUACACAAUAAUAUACCUGACUGUUCCCUUAUCAAGGUGUUCUCUACCAUGAUACACAAUAAUAUACCUGACUAUUCCCUUAUCAAGGUGUUCUCUACCAUGAUACACAAUAAUAUACCUGACUGUUCCCUUAUCAAGGUGUUCUCUACCACGAUACACAAUAAUAUACCUGACUGUUCCCUCUACCAUGAUUCACAAUAAUAUACCUGACUGUUCCCUUAACAAGGUGUUCUCUACCAUGAUACACAAUAAUAUACCUGACUGUUCUCUCUACCAUGAUACACAAUAAUAUACCUGACUGUUCUCUCUACCAUGAUAUACAAUAAUAUACCUGACUGUUACAUUAUCAAGGUGUUCUCUAUCAUGAUACACAAU